UGUGGGAGCUGGCUUGCCUGCGAUGGCGGUGUUGGAUUCACCACCGCCAUCGCAGGCAAGCCAGCUCCCACA
rnacentral:misc_RNA from 1 species